rnacentral:rRNA from 1 species
CAUGCAAGUCGAACGAGCGAGAGAGAGCUUGCUUUCUCGAGCGAGUGGCGAACGGGUGAGUAACGCGUGAGGAACCUGCCUCAAAGAGGGGGACAACAGUUGGAAACGACUGCUAAUACCGCAUAAGCCCACGGCUCGGCAUCGAGCAGAAGGAAAAGGAGCAAUCCGCUUUGAGAUGGCCUCGCGUCCGAUUAGCUAGUUGGUGAGGUAACGGCCCACCAAGGCGACGAUCGGUAGCCGGACUGAGAGGUUGAACGGCCACAUUGGGACUGAGACACGGCCCAGACUCCUACGGGAGGCAGCAGUGGGGAAUAUUGCACAAUGGGGGAAACCCUGAUGCAGCGACGCCGCGUGGAGGAAGAAGGUCUUCGGAUUGUAAACUCCUGUUGUUGGGGAAGAUAAUGACGGUACCCAACAAGGAAGUGACGGCUAACUACGUGCCAGCAGCCGCGGUAAAACGUAGGUCACAAGCGUUGUCCGGAAUUACUGGGUGUAAAGGGAGCGCAGGCGGGAAGACAAGUUGGAAGUGAAAUCUAUGGGCUCAACCCAUAAACUGCUUUCAAAACUGUUUUUCUUGAGUAGUGCAGGGGUAGGCGGAAUUCCCGGUGUAGCGGUGGAAUGCGUAGAUAUCGGGAGGAACACCAGUGGCGAAGGCGGCCUACUGGGCACCAACUGACGCUGAGGCUCGAAAGUGUGGGUAGCAAACAGGAUUAGAUACCCUGGUAGUCCACACCGUAAACGAUGAUUACUAGGUGUUGGAGGAUUGACCCCUUCAGUGCCGCAGUUAACACAAUAAGUAAUCCACCUGGGGAGUACGACCGCAAGGUUGAAACUCAAAGGAAUUGACGGGGGCCCGCACAAGCAGUGGAGUAUGUGGUUUAAUUCGACGCAACGCGAAGAA